rnacentral:rRNA from 1 species
AACGAACGCUGGCGGCAGGCCUAACACAUGCAAGUCGAGCGGACCUUUCGGGGUCAGCGGCGGACGGGUGAGUAACGCGUGGGAAUAUGCCCUUCUCUACGGAAUAGUCCUGGGAAACUGGGGGUAAUACCGUAUACACCCUUUGGGGGAAAGAUUUAUCGGGGAAGGAUUAGCCCGCGUUGGAUUAGGUAGUUGGUGGGGUAAUGGCCUACCAAGCCGACGAUCCAUAGCUGGUUUGAGAGGAUGAUCAGCCACACUGGGACUGAGACACGGCCCAGACUCCUACGGGAGGCAGCAGUGGGGAAUCUUAGACAAUGGGGGCAACCCUGAUCUAGCCAUGCCGCGUGAGUGAUGAAGGCCUUAGGGUUGUAAAGCUCUUUCAGCUGGGAAGAUAAUGACGGUACCAGCAGAAGAAGCCCCGGCUAACUCCGUG